AUAUAUGUACGGCUGUUUUCACCAAGGUCGACAAGUUCUGUUAAUAAUUUACAAAUGAAAAUCACAUGACGCUGUGUAACGUCACCAGUCGCUAAUUACUGAAAAUCGUAUAACGCUACAUACAAAAUCGCAUGAAAUCACUGGUUGUUAAUUGCUGAUGCUACAUUAACGUUACCAGACGUUAUGGUGUUAAAAGAAGGGUUAUUUAUCCAGAUACAUUACGAGCGGUCACGGUCUAAAAAUCACUUGCUCCUUUGAACCUUUUCCAUUUUUGGAAAGUAUUAUUAUUUUGAUUAAUGAAAUUACUAAGUUUUCAAAAAUAUGCUUCAGUGACAGGAAAAUCGUAUUGCAAACUCUGGUAAAGCGAAACUCCGAUCUACCUUUUUGUUCAAUUGCACACACGCGUUCUAACCAUCGAAUUACAAGAGAAAGUGACCAGUUUAAAUUACAAUGGUUCCGUGGAUGUUACAGUACACACCGAAUAAAAAAAAAAAAAUAAAAUUGCUGCAAUUAAGAUCCGGAUAUCUGAAAUUUUCUCACGUCGAGCAGACACUUACAAGGAAGUUCUCUUGACUUUUUCUCAAAAGAUCAUGCUCGAUGACACUAGAAUGUAGAUUGUGCAACAGGUUACGCGGUUCAUCGACAGCGAAACAAUCUGUGAGCAAUCGAGAUCAUUGACCUUUGUAAACUCAACCGAGUAGCAUGCAAUAUCUAGUAAUAUCAUCUCAGAAAGAAGCGAGUACAAACAACUCAAAUUUUACAAAUUCUCCGCAAGUCUGAGCUAUAAAAGUAAAGAAAAAUUGAAAUGAGAAACAUUAUCUCAGAUGAUUACAUUGAGAAACGAAAUUGUUGCUUUUCUAUAUACAGAAAGAAAAUUGAUCAAGGUGAUGUACAUGAAAGAAAAUAAGAUCUAUUUGUUAGGCUGUUACCGUAACGCAUUUCAUCGAGCGCAUGCAUUCGUGACGGAACUGUAAAGUGUAAAGCAUGCGCACAUUUAAACAGUGCACACGACAACGAACAAUUAUCGCGACUUUUGUCGUUUGCCAUUCCCGGUAUGCAUCGAGCGUGCAUUCCAAAUCCUCAUUAUAUAUUUAAUUACAAUUAACCACAAAAUAAACAAUUCAUGGACUGCUUGAUUUCCAACGUAUAGCAUACUAAACGUUGUGAAAAGGAAAGCUACUUGCAACGUAUCCAAGCUACUUGCAACGUCAUACGUCAGUGAUCGAUUUGACAGUGUCAUUGCUGUUAGAAAAAUCAACAUCCACAUUUCAAAUGAAAUUGAAUAAGAAUACAUGAUAAAACAAAAACGAUAUUAUUUAGAUAGAAAUCUAUAUAGAAAUAACUUCUCAAAUUAAUUUCCUAAUAUUCUGUCCACGAAGUGUAUCGGUGGUUUGCGUAAGAAGGAUCCAAAGCGCAAGUAGUGUCAAGCAUGGAUGAGCAACGACCAACAACUAACUCAUUAAGCCGAUUCUCAUUUCCGGUGAGUGUGGCAAUAAGAUUGAACAAACGAGAAUGAAAGACGCGGUUCGCGAGUUUAGCAAGAGUCUACAACGGUUUGGCUUAUUGUUCUCUAUUGUCAACGACUAAACAACGAAUAAAACAAGUAAUAAUUAAAAAAAAAAAAGUGAGAACUCUCACCG